rnacentral:rRNA from 1 species
AACGAACGCUGGCGGCAGGCCUAACACAUGCAAGUCGAGCGCCCUUUCGGGGGAGCGGCGGACGGGUGAGUAACGCGUGGGAAUAUGCCCUUCUCUAAGGAAUAGCCUCGGGAAACUGAGAGUAAUACCGUAUACGCCCUGUGGGGGAAAGAUUUAUCGGGGAAGGAUUAGCCCGCGUUGGAUUAGGUAGUUGGUGGGGUAAUGGCCUACCAAGCCGACGAUCCAUAGCUGGUUUGAGAGGAUGAUCAGCCACACUGGGACUGAGACACGGCCCAGACUCCUACGGGAGGCAGCAGUGGGGAAUCUUAGACAAUGGGGGCAACCCUGAUCUAGCCAUGCCGCGUGAGUGAUGAAGGCCUUAGGGUUGUAAAGCUCUUUCAGCUGGGAAGAUAAUGACGGUACCAGCAGAAGAAGCCCCGGCUAACUCCGUG